AACGAACGCUGGCGGCAGGCUUAACACAUGCAAGUCGAGCGCCCCGCAAGGGGAGCGGCAGACGGGUGAGUAACGCGUGGGAAUCUACCCAUCUCUACGGAAUAACGCGUGGAAACGUGUGCUAAUACCGUAUACGUCCCUCGGGAGAAAGAUUUAUCGGAGAUGGAUGAGCCCGCGUUGGAUUAGCUAGUUGGUGGGGUAAAGGCCUACCAAGGCGACGAUCCAUAGCUGGUCUGAGAGGAUGAUCAGCCACACUGGGACUGAGACACGGCCCAGACUCCUACGGGAGGCAGCAGUGGGGAAUAUUGGACAAUGGGCGCAAGCCUGAUCCAGCCAUGCCGCGUGAGUGAUGAAGGCCCUAGGGUUGUAAAGCUCUUUCACCGGUGAAGAUAAUGACGGUAACCGGAGAAGAAGCCCCGGCUAACCUCGUGCCAGCCGCCGCAGUAACAC
rnacentral:rRNA from 1 species